UUUUUUUUUUUUUUUUUAUUUCUGCAGACGAACGCUGGCGGCGUGCCUAAUACAUGCAAGUCGAACGCUUCUUUUUCCACCGGAGCUUGCUCCACCGGAAAAAGAGGAGUGGCGAACGGGUGAGUAACACGUGGGUAACCUGCCCAUCAGAAGGGGAUAACACUUGGAAACAGGUGCUAAUACCGUAUAACAAUCAAAACCGCAUGGUUUUGAUUUGAAAGGCGCUUUCGGGUGUCGCUGAUGGAUGGACCCGCGGUGCAUUAGCUAGUUGGUGAGGUAACGGCUCACCAAGGCCACGAUGCAUAGCCGACCUGAGAGGGUGAUCGGCCACAUUGGGACUGAGACACGGCCCAAACUCCUACGGGAGGCAGCAGUAGGGAAUCUUCGGCAAUGGACGAAAGUCUGACCGAGCAACGCCGCGUGAGUGAAGAAGGUUUUCGGAUCGUAAAACUCUGUUGUUAGAGAAGAACAAGGAUGAGAGUAACUGUUCAUCCCUUGACGGUAUCUAACCAGAAAGCCACGGCUAACUACGUGCCAGCAGCCGCGGUAAUACGUAGGUGGCAAGCGUUGUCCGGAUUUAUUGGGCGUAAAGCGAGCGCAGGCGGUUUCUUAAGUCUGAUGUGAAAGCCCCCGGCUCAACCGGGGAGGGUCAUUGGAAACUGGGAGACUUGAGUGCAGAAGAGGAGAGUGGAAUUCCAUGUGUAGCGGUGAAAUGCGUAGAUAUAUGGAGGAACACCAGUGGCGAAGGCGGCUCUCUGGUCUGUAACUGACGCUGAGGCUCGAAAGCGUGGGGAGCAAACAGGAUUAGAUACCCUGGUAGUCCACGCCGUAAACGAUGAGUGCUAAGUGUUGGAGGGUUUCCGCCCUUCAGUGCUGCAGCUAACGCAUUAACCACUCCGCAUGG
rnacentral:rRNA from 1 species